CACGAACAGCUAUCACGAGCAGUCUGCAGACGGUAGCCGAUGCGCAAAUGACGCACAGAGAGCCUCUCACACGCGCUCUGUAUUUUGAUUGUGGAAGGGGUAAAUGGUAAUUGCAGGGAAAGUUUUGAAACGGUCCUAAACAAUUUAAGCUGUUUUGAGAAGAUUGCAGAUGAGUAUCUACAGAUCUGUAUUUAGAUUGCAGUUAACAAGAACAGGAACCAAAACCAGAUCGUGGUGGAGAGUUUUGCCUGGGAGAUAGAAGCCAGCAGAAUUAUGACCUCAAUCAACUCCACAGUAUGCACCUGCAGGGGCGGAUAAACAGAAAGACCUAUUGGUACCUCUCUACCAUCAGAGCACAUCCAGACACACAGACUGUCCCAGACACACACACACAAAGUGCAGAAGUGAAGUGGGCACCCCAGACUGUUAUAUUCAGCCCAUUGAAAGCUGCCUGGAGUAUUACACAUCCAAAAGCAGGGAUCACGGAGAAAGGAAACAAAAAAAAAAAAAGACUGCUAAAGAAAGAAAGAAAAACGAACAAAGAAAGAAAGAAAGAAAGAGGAGUUUUAAGUAAAUAAUAUUAAUUGUGCCUUUGCUUCAUGUUUUUAUGUGCAAAAAUGAGUAAUUGUGUUUGAGUGUAAGUGUGUGCAUACAAAUAUACAUGUGAUGAGUCUGAUCGGUAAGAAUGAAUGGUAUUGCUGAUUGUUUAGGGAGGCCCAGAGCGAUAGCCAAUAAUAAUCCUGCAUUUGAAUAAACAGCUUUUUUCCCUCCCUG